rnacentral:misc_RNA from 1 species
UCUCCGUUGGUGAACCAGCGGAGGGAUCAUUCCAGGACUCGCAAGACUCCCGUAAACCACUGUGAACCUACCUAUUGUUGCCUCGCCGGGUGCUCGAGCUCAGCGCUCAGCCCGCCGGCGGCCCCCUACUCUGACUCACUGCGAUGGCAUCUCAGAGAAAACACAAACCAAUUAAAACGUUCAACAACGGAUCGCUUGGCUCGGGCAUCGAUGAAGAACGAAGC